rnacentral:rRNA from 1 species
GACGAACGUUGGCGGCGUGCUUGACACAUGCAAGUCGAACGGAAAGGCCCUGCUUUUGUGGGGUGCUCGAGUGGCGAACGGGUGAGUAACACGUGAGUAACCUGCCCUUGACUUUGGGAUAACUUCAGGAAACUGGGGCUAAUACCGGAUAGGAGCUCCUGCUGCAUGGUGGGGGUUGGAAAGUUUCGGCGGUUGGGGAUGGACUCGCGGCUUAUCAGCUUGUUGGUGGGGUAGUGGCUUACCAAGGCUUUGACGGGUAGCCGGCCUGAGAGGGUGACCGGCCACAUUGGGACUGAGAUACGGCCCAGACUCCUACGGGAGGCAGCAGUGGGGAAUAUUGCACAAUGGGCGGAAGCCUGAUGCAGCAACGCCGCGUGCGGGAUGACGGCCUUCGGGUUGUAAACCGCUUUCGCCUGUGACGAAGCGUGAGUGACGGUAAUGGGUAAAGAAGCACCGGCUAACUACGUGCCAGCAGCCGCGGUGAUACGUAGGGUGCGAGCGUUGUCCGGAUUUAUUGGGCGUAAAGGGCUCGUAGGUGGUUGAUCGCGUCGGAAGUGUAAUCUUGGGGCUUAACCCUGAGCGUGCUUUCGAUACGGGUUGACUUGAGGAAGGUAGGGGAGAAUGGAAUUCCUGGUGGAGCGGUGGAAUGCGCAGAUAUCAGGAGGAACACCAGUGGCGAAGGCGGUUCUCUGGGCCUUUCCUGACGCUGAGGAGCGAAAGCGUGGGGAGCGAACAGGCUUAGAUACCCUGGUAGUCCACGCUGUAAACGGUGGGUACUAGGUGUGGGGUCCAUUCCACGGGUUCCGUGCCGUAGCUAACGCUUUAAGUACCCCGCCUGGGGAGUACGGCCGCAAGGCUAAAACUCAAAGGAAUUGACGGGGCCCCGCACAAGCGGCGGAGCAUGCGGAUUAAUUCGAUGCAACGCGUAGAACCUUACCUGGGUUUGACAUGGAUCGGGAGUGCUCAGAGAUGGGUGUGCCUCUUUUGGGGUCGGUUCACAGGUGGUGCAUGGCUGUCGUCAGCUCGUGUCGUGAGAUGUUGGGUUAAGUCCCGCAACGAGCGCAACCCUUGUUCACUGUUGCCAGCACGUUAUGGUGGGGACUCAGUGGAGACCGCCGGGGUCAACUCGGAGGAAGGUGGGGAUGACGUCAAGUCAUCAUGCCCCUUAUGUCCAGGGCUUCACGCAUGCUACAAUGGCUGGUACAGAGAGUGGCGAGCCUGUGAGGGUGAGCGAAUCUCGGAAAGCCGGUCUCAGUUCGGAUUGGGGUCUGCAACUCGACCUCAUGAAGUCGGAGUCGCUAGUAAUCGCAAAUCAGCAACGCUGCGGUGAAUACGUUCCCGGGGCU